GGUUAAGCGAAUAAGCGUACACGGUGGAUGCCUAGGCAGUCAGAGGCGACGAAGGACGUGCUAAUCUGCGAUAAGCGCCGGUAAGGUGAUAUGAACCGUUAUAACCGGCGAUUUCCGAAUGGGGAAACCCAGUGCAAUUCGUUGCACUAUCAUUACCUGAAUACAUAGGGUAAUGAAGCGAACCGGGAGAACUGAAACAUCUAAGUACCCCGAGGAAAAGAAAUCAAACGAGAUUCCCCCAGUAGCGGCGAGCGAACGGGGAGCAGCCCAGGACCUUAAUCAGCAUCAGUGUUAAGAGAACAGUCUGGAAAGGCUGGCCACAGCAGGUGAUAGCCCUGUAUCUGAAAGCACUGGUGUUGUGAGUCCGAUGAGUAAGGCGGGACACGUGUUAUCCUGUCUGAAUACGGGGGGACCAUCCUCCAAGGCUAAAUACUCCUGACUGACCGAUAGUGAACCAGUACCGUGAGGGAAAGGCGAAAAGAACCCCGGCGAGGGGAGUGAAAAAGAACCUGAAACCGUGUACGUACAAGCAGUGGGAGCACCUUUAUGGUGUGACUGCGUACCUUUUGUAUAAUGGGUCAGCGACUUAUAUUCUGUAGCAAGGUUAACCGAAUAGGGGAGCCGCAGGGAAACCGAGUCUUAACUGGGCGAACUAGUUGCAGGGUAUAGACCCGAAACCCGGUGAUCUAGCCAUGGGCAGGUUGAAGGUUGGGUAACACUAACUGGAGGACCGAACCGACUAAUGUUGAAAAAUUAGCGGAUGACUUGUGGCUGGGGGUGAAAGGCCAAUCAAACCGGGAGAUAGCUGGUUCUCCCCGAAAGCUAUUUAGGUAGCGCCUCGUGAACUCAUCUCCGGGGGUAGAGCACUGUUUCGGCUAGGGGGUCAUCCCGACUUACCAACCCGAUGCAAACUGCGAAUACCGGAGAAUGUUAUCACGGGAGACACACGGCGGGUGCUAACGUUCGUCGUGAAGAGGGAAACAACCCAGACCGCCGGCUAAGGUCCCAAAGUCAUAAUUAAGUGGGAAACGAAGUGGGAAGGCUCAGACAGCCAGGAUGUUGGCUUAGAAGCAGCCAUCAUUUAAAGAAAGCGUAAUAGCUCACUGGUCGAGUCGGCCUGCGCGGAAGAUGUAACGGGGCUAAAUUAUGCACCGAAGCCGCGGCAGCGAUAUGUAAAUAUUGUUGGGUAGGGGAGCGUUCUGUAAGCCUGUGAAGGUGACCUGUGAGGGUUGCUGGAGGUAUCAGAAGUGCGAAUGCUGACAUAAGUAACGAUAAUGCGGGUGAAAAACCCGCACGCCGGAAGACCAAGGGUUCCUGUCCAACGUUAAUCGGGGCAGGGUGAGUCGACCCCUAAGGCGAGGCUGAAAAGCGUAGUCGAUGGGCAACGGGUUAAUAUUCCCGUACUGGUGGUAACUGCGAAGGGGGGACGGAGAAAGCUAAAUCAUCCGGGCGACGGUUGUCCCGGUUUAAGCGUGCAGGUGGACUGACCAGGCAAAUCCGGUCGGUUGUUAACACUGAGGCGUGACGACGAGCCACUACGGUGGUGAAGUGAUUGAUGCUCUGCUUCCGGGAAAAGCCUCUAAGCUCCAGGUUACCAUUAAUCGUACCUCAAACCGACACAGGUGGUCAGGUAGAGAAUACUCAGGCGCUUGAGAGAACUCGGGUGAAGGAACUAGGCAAAAUGGUGCCGUAACUUCGGGAGAAGGCACGCUGGCAUUAGGUGAAGUGGUUUACCCACGGAGCUGAAGCCAGCCGCAGAUACCAGCUGGCUGCAACUGUUUAUUAAAAACACAGCACUGUGCAAACACGAAAGUGGACGUAUACGGUGUGACGCCUGCCCGGUGCCGGAAGGUUAAUUGAUGAGGUCAGCCGCAAGGCGAAGCUUCUGAUCGAAGCCCCGGUAAACGGCGGCCGUAACUAUAACGGUCCUAAGGUAGCGAAAUUCUUUGUCGGGUAAGUUCCGACCUGCACGAAUGGCGUAAUGAUGGCCAGGCUGUCUCCACCCGAGACUCAGUGAAAUUGAACUCGCUGUGAAGAUGCAGUGUACCCGCGGCAAGACGGAAAGACCCCGUGAACCUUUACUAUAGCUUGACACUGAACAUUGAGCCUUGAUGUGUAGGAUAGGUGGGAGGCAACGAAGUGUGGACGCCAGUCUGCACGGAGCCAUCCUUGAAAUACCACCCUUUAACGUUUGAUGUUCUAACCCGGGUCCAUAAUCUGGAUCGGGGACCGUGUCUGGUGGGUAGUUUGACUGGGGCGGUCUCCUCCCAAAGAGUAACGGAGGAGCACGAAGGUUGGCUAAGCAUGGUCGGACAUCAUGCGGUUAGUGCAAAGGCAUAAGCCAGCUUGACUGCGAGAGUGACGGCUCGAGCAGGUACGAAAGUAGGUCUUAGUGAUCCGGUGGUUCUGAAUGGAAGGGCCAUCGCUCAACGGAUAAAAGGAAUCACUAGUGAAUUC
rnacentral:rRNA from 1 species